UACAGGGGGUGCAAACGUUGCUCAGAAUUAUUGGGCGUAAAGGGCGCGUAGGCGGCUUGGCAAGUGGAUGGUGAAAUCCCUCGGCUUAACCGAGGAACUGCCAUCCAGACUGCUUUGCUUGAGGCCGGGAGAGGUGAGUGGAAUUCCCAGUGUAGCGGUGAAAUGCGUAGAUAUUGGGAGGAACACCAGUGGCGAAGGCGGCUCACUGGACCGGUUCUGACGCUGAGGCGCGAAAGCGUGGGGAGCAAACGGG
rnacentral:rRNA from 1 species